AGACUCUGGCUCUCCUGGGGACCUGCUGGACCUGGGUGCGAUGAGUGGGCGGCCACGCUGGUUUGGCACGGGGAAGAAAGGGGGUGUGCCGACUUGACUUUAGUUGGGGGUUGGGGAAGUCACGGCUGGGGGAAAACCGUCCGGUGGUUUGUUGGUAAAGAGGGGCACCACUUUCAGAUAAAAACAUAGACCUGAAUGGCAUCAUCCAGUAUCCAAGGAAACCAUGUAGGAUUUUUCUCACCUUUGGAAAAAAUAAAUCUCUUACCAGAGAUAUGAAAAAUUCAGCUGAAUUUAUUUAUGGCCUUGGUAAAGGUCUUUUCAUGCUCUACAAUGGCAAUAUUUUUACAAAACCAACAGAUGAUCUAUCUAGGGAUGCCAGCAAGUGCUCUCAAGAGAAAAUGUAUUCUGUUUCAUCCAGGUUCAGGCUAAAUUGCUGGGACAGCUGCUUUCUUUGACCUCCUCUCGACUUUGCUGACCACAUCACCAACUGGCAGGGUGUGGUGCCUUAAGACCUUCCAAGAGACUUGCUUCCAAAUGGAAAUAAUGGAGUAACAUUUUGUAUGAUCAAACAUGAGAGAAUUCCAGUAAUUUUCAGCAUUUUAAGGUACAUUCAGCAUAUUGCUCAAAUGAUUAUUAAAAUUCUGAAUCUGAAAAGCAGUCGGUCCCACAUCGAAACUGCUUGUAAAAUACAUGAUUCAGAUGGUGGUCAUUGGUUAAUAAUAGCAACAGAGGAAGCCCUGGGAGCCAUCUAGUAGGGAACCCCUCUUCUUCCAGAAAGUAAUACACCAAAGCUAUUCUCUGUAGAAGACUGUUUUGUCUUUUCUUAGGAAAUGGAAAGAAAAGAAUUUUUAUUAUAUUCCUGUCUAUUGUCUUAUGGCUUUGAUAGCUAUUGAAUUAUUUGAACUAAAUCCUAUUAUUUGUAUUAGCCCCUUCUUUCUCAAACACACAUACUUACAAAUAUACACACAUGUUCACAAUAUAGUGGGGAAAACAAGCUUUCUUGUCGAUCUGUAUCAUUAGGAGGAAAAUUAUUUUUUCUGAUCAUAGGAGUACAGGUUUGUUUUUAUUUCAAAAUACUUAGAACUAGAACCAAAGUAGAGUUUGUUAGUGCCAAGAAGCAUUUCUCUUUCUUGAAUCAAGAGCCCAGUGCAUCAUUUUUGCCACUUUCAUUCUUUUAUUUCAUCAGCAACCUUCUUUUCAGCUACCAUGCAGCAAAAAAUGUUUGCAAGUAGCGUCUGGUGCUUCCAUGAGGUAUGCCUGGCUGCUCAGGGGGAAUGCAUGGGACAGAGGGAGGCUCUUUUCUACUCUGUAGCCGGCAGGACAAAUCACUGACAUCCUCUUAGAUAUUAGAGGGGAAUAUCCUGAGCUAUUCUGGAAUCUCAAAAGGACUAACAAAGUUCAUUCCAUUUGUCAUUGAAAUGUGACAGUGAUGUAGAACAAAACCUUUCCGCAGUGGGGGCUGGCUGCACCGAAUUCCUUUUGCAACAAGGAAAUUAGGUCAGAAGAAAUUUAGGUCAACACCUUACAGAGAUGUCCCCAUGCCUGAAAGGAGCCAGGAGAACUUAAAACAUUCCACACAGAAAGGUUAUUGUUUUUAUAUUUAAUUUGAAAAAUGGUACCUUCCAAAGCUUAGUGUCAUAUAAAUUCAGCUAUGAAUCAGCAAAGAAAAUUACCGUUUGCAUCACUAGCACUGCUUCUGAUAAAUCCAGGCACGAUCCUAAGGUGCUUCUAACCAAGCCCAGCCGACCCAGUUUAAUCAUGCAAUUCAAGACAUAUUUAUCAACUCUUGAUUAUGUACAAUUAAACUAUUAGAUAAUGUAAAGGUUGUAAAGAUUAAUAAGUACCUCCUCCCACUAAUCCCAUCUUUGCCAUAAGGAAGUUAUAAGCUAAGGAGGAGGAGAAGAUUAUGGGGUAAAUUAAAAUGCAAUAUAGCCUAUAAGUCAUUGAUUCAUUUGUCAUAGAGCAAAUGAACUCCUACUGUAUGCCGAAGACUAUGGAAGUGAUAUACAAGAGUUAAAGUAAGUGAUUCUGGAUGGAGAAGAGAGAGAUCAGGUUAGUUUGGGGUGGACAAAAAGGAAUAAUUUCUUUAAAAAAGGGCAGUUUAAAUGAACUUUAAAUGGAUAUAAUUUCAAAAGAUGGAGGUAGGUAAGAGGUCCCUGAGUGGAAGUGUUGGGAAGAGGGACACAGUGGGUGGGGAUGCCUGGACAAGGGGAGGCAAAGAGACCCCAUGGCUGAGAAUGUUAGGAGGAGAGAAAAGCAUGUGCAAUGGCAAAGGGGUAGACAAGAAUAUGCUGUAUUUGGGGAACAAAUGAUGACCCAUGUUGAUUAUAUUGACCACACAAGGCAGAAAUUGAAGUGGUUAGAAAGGAUAAGUCAGAAUCCUAUUUAGACAUGCCUUGAAUACCAGGCUGGAGAGUUGCAUGAGUGCGGUGAGCCAUCCUGUGGCUCCGUGGAAAGGAUUCUGGUGACUUGGAUGGCCCUUCCGACCAGUCAAGAUGGCUGAAUACAGGUUAGCAAAGUUAUUCCAUAAAUCCUAAACCAUUGUUCUGGAAUGUCUUUAGAUAUGAAGUGACUUGAUCAACAUCUCUGCUGUCAGUAUUGAAUGUAUAUUUCUUAAGCGAAACAAGUGGAAUUUUACUAAAUCCGCUUUUUAAAGUAUCCCAACUGAAGUCUAAUUUGGCAUUUGGCCAGUUUAAACAAAAAAAUGAAUGAGAAAUAUAAAAAAUGAGUACGGUUUUUAUUUUCAUUGGUUAUGUGACCACCUUCUCACUACAUACAUCAGUUAGCAAAGUCU
ensembl:lncRNA